UUAAACGGCCGCGGUAUCCUAACCGUGCAAAGGUAGCAUAAUCACUUGUCCCCUAAAUAGGGACUAGAAUGAACGGUUAAAUGAGGGCUUCACUGUCUCUUACAUUCGACCAAUAAACCUGAUCUUUCAGUCCAAAAGCUGAAAUAAACCCAUAAGACGAGAAGACCCUGUGGAGCUUCCAAACCAAGCCCACCACCCUAUGUCCCCUUGGUUUUUAGUUGGGGCGACUUUGGAGCACAAACAACCCUCCAACUACGGACCUUCCCCUCUAGAUGUACAUAUCAACAAAAAUUUUCCCCGACCCAGUAGCUAAAUUGCCUAUCUGACCAAUGGACCAAGUUACCCCAGGGAUAACAGCGCCAUCCUCUUCUAGAGUCCCUAUCGACAAGAGGGUUUACGACCUCGAUGUUGGAUCAGGACACCCCUAUAGUGCAGCCGCUAUAAAAGGUUCGUUUGUUCAACGAUUAAAGUCCUACGUGAUCU
rnacentral:rRNA from 1 species